GUUGGCCACGAAGCUCAAAGCAGGAUCUCAGUGAUUCUAGUGAUCCUCAACAGUCUUCAGAGUGAAAUGAUGAGAAUUCACUGAGGUUGCAAUGUUCAGCUAUCUGUGACUGACCUCACACUCGUGCUCUUUUAAAGCUAGCACUACAGGUGUAGUUCCCUGGUUGAAAGUAUUGACUAACAUUACUGAAUACAGAUAGAUAAUGAGGGUAGUAAGAAAAGUAUUUUGGGAUGCACUAUGAUAACCGGUGACGCAUGUUUUUUUUAUGCAAAACAACAUUAAGGCCGUAUGGCUCCAGCACCCUUUAUCUGGCGUGUCAGAGUUAAGAAAAAUUUAGUUUUUAUUCGGAGCAAUUCAAACAUAUGCUGCACGUGUAUCAACGUGUGUCAACAAUCAAAUUGUAAUUAAAUGUAAUAAGCUGGAUUUCUCAAUAAAUAAUUCUCUAACAGUAAACAUAAACAUUAGUAUUCUCUUUCCCGAAUCCGAAGCCGAAAUUCAAGCAUCUGUCAAAUACGUUGUGUUCUGUGAUAGUUACCCGUUACAAAAGUAUCGUACAAAAUCUUUACUGGAUAGGGCGUAUCGUAAGCCCGCACGGGUAGAUACACUCAGUCUAGCACACAGUCCGUCAGCUUUCUUAGCGGCCAAUGCCAACAGUGGCAAUAUCCGCAAAAAUGAGAAAGCGCUCUACAAAAGAAGCAAUCAGCUAUAAUUUUUUUUAAGGGAUUUUAUGACCAGGUAACUAAGACCUUUAAAUCAUGUCUUAUAUUUUAAUUUAUAUUCAUAUUUUUAUGAAAAAUGAUAUUAUGGAGUGAAAUGAAAUGAAGAUGAUUAAUUUGAGACAUUAAUCAACUGGGAUGAAUUUCAUUUCAGUCCAUAUUAUCAUUUCUCACAAAAAAAAGAAUAUUCAUUAUAAGACAUAACUUAAAAGUCUUAGUUACCAGGUCAUAAAAUCACUUUAAAAAAAAAGCGACUGUCCCGACAUUUUGGAUUUUUUUAAAACUUAUUUAAACCUCGAUUGAUUGUUUAUUUUGGCGACAUUUAGGCUGUUGUACUUUGCUAAAACAUUGUAAGGAAAGGAAGUGUAAAAUGGUCAAAAUGCGGCAUAACAUCAAAAGAAUAUUUUUCCUUAACCUUCCAUAGGUUUUCUCUUCCGUCCAAGCAUCGGUCUCUGAGGGCUAAAGUUUGGGCUAAAUUUUGUUUUCCUGAUGGUGAUUGGACAUCCAAUGAAUCGUUAGAAAAGUUGAACGCACAGCAUAGGAUGCUAUGUGGCAAUCAUUUUGAUGAUUCUUCAUAUACCAGCAGCAACAGGAAAAGACUUCCAUCUGAAGCUCAAAGUAUACUUUCCCAAUUAAGAGACGAACAGUGUAGUCCAUCUAAAGCAAGUCAUGACAUCCAAGAACCAUCAAUAAGCAAAGGUAUUUUGAAGGACUUGGACGAGAAAAAGUUCACUGAACUUACACCUAAAAAGCAAAAGCUGCAUAAGAGAUGCAGAAAAACCUAUCUGAAAUAAUGAGGCUCUAAAGAAAGUUUAAAGGUGUUAAAAAAUCCAAAAGAUCUAUAUUAAGUGUACUAACAUCAAAUGAACCUACUAAUGAAUUAUUAAAAAGCAAAUUAAGUAGUUCAUUCUAUUUACUAUUACAAAGCCAACUGAACAACAUUCCAAGAAAAUUAACUGGAUGGAGAUGGACACUGGAUGAUAAAGUGCUAGCCUUAAGCAUUUAUAAGAAAUCAAACUGUUGUUAUAGAUUAUUGAGUAGGUUAUUUUGCUGGUCCAAUUCAUAUUUUAUGUGAAAGUAACGAAGAGCUAGGAGAUAUGCCUCCUUAGUGUUCUGGUGAAAUGUGCAAGCAUGUGCUUAUCUUUGCGGAUUUAUUGUAAAAAAGAUGGCACUCAAUUGUACUCUUUGUAAAAGUAUUAUGCUAGCAGACCAGAACACUUAGGUAUGUCAUUUGUUUACAUUGUUCAAAGAAUAUGACGAUGUUAAAUGUAGUUUAAAUUACAUUCAGUACAGAUUUUGUAAAAUGGUUGAAAAGGCUGCAAAUUUGGUAAACAAUUAUCUAAAAGAUCACAGUCACACAGAAAAAAUUAAAAUGAAUUUAUAUACUUUAUUAACUGAAAAUUUGGACAAAUAUUGACUAAAGGGAUGUGAAGAACAUUACGCAGUCAAUAUUGAAACAAUUAUGAAAAGUACAAUUGCUAUCUGUUUAAAAAGAUUUUGUAAAAUAAAAAAUGAUGAAUUUAUAGAAGAAGCGUCCAAAAAUCAUGGAAGAGAAAAAUAAAUAUAUUGAAAAACGUUUAAUAUUAAGUGAUUAUGUAUGUAAAGUGUAAAUCGAUUAAAUAUUCAACCAUUUCAUUAAAUUAUAAAAAAUGCAUUAAUUUUAUUGCAAUUAACUUAUAUUGCAACUUAACUAUUAAUUGCAGUCCUAGUGGUAAAACAAUUGCAGUUAACUCAGAUUGUUAACAGAUUAUUUACAAAACAUUUAUGCUCAACACAUUUGUAAAUUUAAAACAAUACGUUAUUGUCAGAUAACACCUUUUCUAAUUCUACAAGAAGCUAAAAUUAGUAUGUUUCUAGUUUAGGAGUCAUUAAUCAUCAAUGAAUGAUAGAUUUUCAUGUUUAUAAUUCAUUUUUUUCAAUUUUGUCAGAUAACGCCCGUGUUCAGUUACUACGUAACCUCAUCUAAUUAGUUACGUUUCAAUGACGUGCCUUUCAAGGAUAUUUUAUAUUAAAAGUUUCUCUAUGUGUAAAAAUACUGAAUUAUUAUAAAAAAAGUAAAAAAGUCAUCAAGUAUAUAAUUUAUAUAUAUUUAUUAACGACACUAUAAUUUUACCACACUAAAUCUUUUUUAUGAAACAGUUAAUUACACUGUGGUAAACCUUUUACAAAUAACGUAGAUUUUCUCAUUAAUUUAUUACAGUAAAAAACUUAAUUCUAAUUUUAAAUCUAAAAUCUAAUCUAAAUGUAAAUUUUAUAUCCUUUAAAAUUAUUCUGCCGCCACGCGCAGUGCUGUAUAUAAUAUAAAUACUUAAAUUGUUAAUAAGAAUAUACAUUAAGACUUUUUGUUUUUAAUUAUGGUAGCUUAAUAAAAUUGUUACCCAUGUACAA